rnacentral:misc_RNA from 1 species
AUACCUCAACCUCUACAUUUUCUUGUUAAAGUGUAGCAGCGUUGGAUGCUGAGCGUUGCUGUUUGCCUUUUGAGCACAGCUCGCUUCAAAUGCAUAAGCAAUCUUUGUACUCCUCGGAUUGACUUGACGUGAUAAGAUCUUCGUCGAGGAUGCUUUCAAUAGCAGCCGGAUUGUACACUAGUCGCUUCUAAACCGAGUCGCCCUAGCGCGAUGCUCCUUUUAA